rnacentral:rRNA from 1 species
UACGGGGGGAGCAAGCGUUGUUCGGAUUUACUGGGCGUAAAGGGCGCGUAGGCGGCCAGCGCAAGUCAGUUGUGAAAUCUCCGGGCUUAACUCGGAACGGUCAUCUGAUACUGCGCGGCUAGAGUGCAGAAGGGGCAACUGGAAUUCUCGGUGUAGCGGUGAAAUGCGUAGAUAUCGAGAGGAACACCUGCGGCGAAGGCGGGUUGCUGGGCUGACACUGACGCUGAUGCGCGAAAGCCAGGGGAGCGAACGGG